rnacentral:rRNA from 1 species
AUUGAACGCUGGCGGCAGGCCUAACACGUGCAAGUCGAGCGGUAGCACAGAGAGCUUGCUCUCGGGUGACGAGCGGCGGACGGGUGAGUAAUGUCUGGGAAACUGCCUGAUGGAGGGGGAUAACUACUGGAAACGGUAGCUAAUACCGCAUAACGUCGCAAGACCAAAGUGGGGGACCUUCGGGCCUCAUGCCAUCAGAUGUGCCCAGAUGGGAUUAGCUAGUAGGUGGGGUAACGGCUCACCUAGGCGACGAUCCCUAGCUGGUCUGAGAGGAUGACCAGCCACACUGGAACUGAGACACGGUCCAGACUCCUACGGGAGGCAGCAGUGGGGAAUAUUGCACAAUGGGCGCAAGCCUGAUGCAGCCAUGCCGCGUGUGUGAAGAAGGCCUUCGGGUUGUAAAGCACUUUCAGCGGGGAGGAAGGCGGUGAGGUUAAUAACCUCACCGAUUGACGUUACCCGCAGAAGAAGCACCGGCUAACUCCGUGCCAGCCGCCGCGGUAA